rnacentral:tRNA from 1 species
UUUGCUUCUCUUGGUAGCGCGCGUCCUUGAUAUGGACGAGGCAGUGGUUCGAGUCCACUACAGACCACCA